CCACGCAAGAAAGAAGAAAGCGACAGCGCAAAAUCAAACAUUCAUACUGGAUAAUACCACGAAGAGAGCUCCAACGGCCCAGGCAUCUAACUUGGCUUUUGAAGGUGUGGGUUCAGUGCUGAGUGUCUCCUCUGUUUCGCCGCUCUCAGAAUCUGAAACUAUGAAGAAGAGGGACGGCCAAGACGAGGACGGUCGAUUUGGUGGGCGCGGCUACAGAAUAUGAUGCCCGGCUUAUACAAGUACUGUACUGUAGUUGUAUAUGGUGUAGUGGUAGUGCUCUGUCCAUGGUUCCAGGUGGAAGGCAUCAAUUGCUGACGGGCUCAGCAUUGUUGCCGACACAUGUAAUAUGGCUUGCUUUUACAUGGCGGAGACCGUGAGUCAAAUAACACUGCUUGGUGCAACUGCGACGAAACAGCAGCAGCUAGUACAUUUGACGUUGGCUUGCUUUCAGAUCUGCUCCGCUCACAUGCUAUGCUCUAUCUUUGCUAAGAAGUCAGUUCGGUAUCCAUCAUUUGAGUCUAAAA